GGCAGUUUAGCUUAAAGAGGCAAAGCACUAUGGCUGGUAAUCACAGAGAUGUGAGUUCGAGUCUCAUGGCUGGCC
rnacentral:tRNA from 1 species